rnacentral:rRNA from 1 species
CCUACGGGAGGCUGCAGUGGGGAAUAUUGCGCAAUGGGCGAAAGCCUGACGCAGCGACGCCGCGUGAGGGAUGAAGGUCUUCGGAUUGUAAACCUCUGUCUGCAGGGAAGAACGGUCACUGUGCUAAUCAGCAGUGAAUUGACGGUACCUGCAAAGGAAGCACCGGCUAACUCCGUGCCAGCAGCCGCGGCAAUACGGAGGGUGCGAGCGUUAAUCGGAAUUACUGGGCGUAAAGCGCUCGUAGGCGGUAUGUCAAGUCAAGGGUGAAAUCCCCGCGCUCAACGUGGGAACUGCCUUUGAAACUGGCAGACUGGAGUGUGUGAGAGGAAAGUGGAAUUCCAGGUGUAGGAGUGAAAUCCGUAGAUAUCUGGAGGAACAUCAGUGGCGAAGGCGACUAUCUGGCACAUAACUGACGCUGAGGAGCGAAAGCGUGGGUAGCAAACAGGAUUAGAUACCCUUGUAGUC